AGUUCCUUCAAGCUCUGUAUGAAUUCAUUUGCAUUUCUCCAGAUUGGAUCCUCUCUGAAGAUGGGACCUUAUUUUGAGCCCCAAAAUAUCCAAAGACUGGAGCACACAGACUUCCCAAGCAUUUGGAACGUUUGGACAGGAGCAGAAGUUCUUUGCAUGCACCAUGCAGAGGCCCAUGGUGGAGCAGUGUCCCCCUGCGGCUCAUGGGCACCACACGGAUCAGAUCUCCACAUGCAGCUCUUUGAGGUGUGAGAUGCACACUUUGAGCUUUAGACUGGAACUGAGUGAAAUUCAGGCUUUCUGAUUCCAAAACCACUCUCUUGACAACUAUUGCACAACUACAGCCAAUGCAUGAAGUACCUUUUCACGUUCCUCCUGCAUCUGACUACAGCUCAAGAGAAGUGUAUGUGAUAUUUUUCCCUCCAUCCAGCACUCAGCAGCACCUUAAGGCAGUCAAUAGUUUCAAGAGCAUGCACUGUGGUAAGCAAGCACUACUGGAAAUAGCUGGAGCCACAAUAUUUGUGUUAAGACAGAGAGUUCUGCUAGAUUCAUGAUGAUGCAGGCUUCUCCAAGCCUCUCCACCCAGGUGGGAUUAGCCUAGCCACAUCCCCUGCCAUGUACUGCACACCCAGCAGGCAUGCAGGGAGAUCAGCCAGAAGAACCCGCAUGCAACAAUGGUGGGUGUAAUGCCAGAUUCCAGGUCAGAGACAGGUUACGAAUGAGAAAACACAAAAGAAAUGCAGCCCAACUCAUUCCACAGGCCCACUGUCCAACUGUUGUUGCAUCUGUACGUGUUGCAAUUAUGGUAUAUGGCCAACUGAGUGUAUCUGCAGAGCCAGCUUGGUCCCUAGCAUGAGAAUGUUCCCAGACAUGCUGCCGAGAGUUUGCCCAUCCUGUGAUACAUACAGCAUUUCUUUCCCUUUGUUCCAGAGGGGAGCAUUUGGUGUAGAAUUACUUGGGUGCAUUGCAAAAAAAUAAAGCAUUGCAUUAUGAGAAGGAGAGCCUGCUCAUUUUAAAGAAAAAAAUAAAAAUGCAAAAAGUCAUGUAAAAUG
ensembl:lncRNA